AGAAACCUAAAAUUCUUAAUUUUACAAUAAAAAAUUAAAUCAAAAUAGUUGCCAAAUUUAGUUUUCCUUGAUUACUACUACAUCAAUAUGUUAGUUCCAGAUCUUUGUUCUAAGUGCAGUUUUACUUGAACAUCUUAUAUUCAAAUUUGAGACAGCAGAAGGACCAAAAAAAAGCCCACUGGGAUCUGGGAUUGAAGUAUGGACAGGUACAAGCAAAACAUGAACCCAAAUUUGAACGUUGGACUACUUAUUAAAUGGUCAAAGAAGUUCCAAUACUAUGCCAAGAAAAACACUCAACCAAAAAAACUUAACCUUACAAAUGAGGAUUUA
rnacentral:misc_RNA from 1 species